rnacentral:rRNA from 1 species
GAUGAACGCUGGCGGCGUGCCUAAUACAUGCAAGUCGAGCGAACAGAUGAGGAGCUUGCUCCUCUGACGUUAGCGGCGGACGGGUGAGUAACACGUGGAUAACCUACCUAUAAGACUGGGAUAACUUCGGGAAACCGGAGCUAAUACCGGAUAAUAUAUUGAACCGCAUGGUUCAAUAGUGAAAGACGGUUUUGCUGUCACUUAUAGAUGGAUCCGCGCCGCAUUAGCUAGUUGGUAAGGUAACGGCUUACCAAGGCAACGAUGCGUAGCCGACCUGAGAGGGUGAUCGGCCACACUGGAACUGAGACACGGUCCAGACUCCUACGGGAGGCAGCAGUAGGGAAUCUUCCGCAAUGGGCGAAAGCCUGACGGAGCAACGCCGCGUGAGUGAUGAAGGUCUUCGGAUCGUAAACCUCUGUUAUUAGGGAAGAACAAAUGUGUAAGUAACUAUGCACGUCUUGACGGUACCUAAUCAGAAAGCCACGGCUAACUACGUG